CGCUCGCCGGAAGACCAAGGGUUCCUGUCCAACGUUAAUCGGGGCAGGGUGAGUCGACCCCUAAGGCGAGGCCGAAAGGCGUAGUCGAUGGGAAACAGGUUAAUAUUCCUGUACUUGGUGUUACUGCGAAGGGGGGACGGAGAAGGCUAUGUUAGCCGGGCGACGGUUGUCCCGGUUUAAGCAUGUAGGCUGGUUAUCCAGGCAAAUCCGGAUAACCAAGGCUGAGGUGUGAUGACGAGGCACUACGGUGCUGAAGUAACAAAUGCCCUGCUUCCAGGAAAAGCCUCUAAGCAUCAGGUAACAUCAAAUCGUACCCCAAACCGACACAGGUGGUCAGGUAGAGAAUACCAAGGCGCUUGAGAGAACUCGGGUGAAGGAACUAGGCAAAAUGGUGCCGUAACUUCGGGAGAAGGCACGCUGGUGUGUAGGUGAAGCCCCUGCGGGUGGAGCUGAGACCAGUCGAAGAUACCAGCUGGCUGCAACUGUUUAUUAAAAACACAGCACUGUGCAAACACGAAAGUGGACGUAUACGGUGUGACGCCUGCCCGGUGCCGGAAGGUUAAUUGAUGGGGUUAUCCGUAAGGAGAAGCUCUUGAUCGAAGCCCCGGUAAACGGCGGCCGUAACUAUAACGGUCCUAAGGUAGCGAAAUUCCUUGUCGGGUAAGUUCCGACCUGCACGAAUGGCGUAAUGAUGGCCAGGCUGUCUCCACCCGAGACUCAGUGAAAUUGAACUCGCUGUGAAGAUGCAGUGUACCCGCGGCAAGACGGAAAGACCCCGUGAACCUUUACUAUAGCUUGACACUGAACAUUGAGCCUUGAUGUGUAGGAUAGGUGGGAGGCUUUGAAGCGUGGACGCCAGUCUGCGUGGAGCCAACCUUGAAAUACCACCCUUUAAUGUUUGAUGUUCUAACGUUGGCCCCUGACCGGGGUUGCGGACAGUGUCUGGUGGGUAGUUUGACUGGGGCGGUCUCCUCCCAAAGCGUAACGGAGGAGCACGAAGGUUAGCUAAUCCUGGUCGGACAUCAGGAGGUUAGUGCAAUGGCAUAAGCUAGCUUGACUGCGAGCGUGACGGCGCGAGCAGGUGCGAAAGCAGGUCAUAGUGAUCCGGUGGUUCUGAAUGGAAGGGCCAUCGCUCAACGGAUAAAAGGUACUCCGGGGAUAACAGGCUGAUACCGCCCAAGAGUUCAUAUCGACGGCGGUGUUUGGCACCUCGAUGUCGGCUCAUCACAUCCUGGGGCUGAAGUAGGUCCCAAGGGUAUGGCUGUUCGCCAUUUAAAGUGGUACGCGAGCUGGGUUUAGAACGUCGUGAGACAGUUCGGUCCCUAUCUGCCGUGGGCGCUGGAGAAUUGAGGGGGGCUGCUCCUAGUACGAGAGGACCGGAGUGGACGCAUCACUGGUGUUCGGGUUGUCAUGCCAAUGGCACUGCCCGGUAGCUAAAUGCGGAAGAGAUAAGUGCUGAAAGCAUCUAAGCACGAAACUUGCCCCGAGAUGAGUUCUCCCUGAGACUUUAAGUCUCCUGAAGGAACGUUGAAGACGACGACGUUGAUAGGCCGGGUGUGUAAGCGCAGCGAUGCGUUGAGCUAACCGGUACUAAUGAACCGUGAGGCUUAACCUUACAACGCCGAAG
rnacentral:rRNA from 1 species